rnacentral:rRNA from 1 species
UACAGGGGGGGCAAGCGUUGUUCGGAAUUACUGGGCGUAAAGGGCUCGUAGGUGGCCAACUAAGUCAGACGUGAAAUCCCUCAGCUUAACUGGGGAACUGCGUCUGAUACUGGAUGGCUUGAGUUUGGGAGAGGGAUGCGGAAUUCCAGGUGUAGCGGUGAAAUGCGUAGAUAUCCGGAGGAACACCGGUGGCGAAGGCGGCAUCCUGGACCAACACUGACACUGAGGAGCGAAAGCCAGGGGAGCAAACGGG